AGUCAAGUCUGAUUUCUGCUCCUUACUCAAUAAGGAGUUUGAUAUUUCAACAACGUGCGAGAGUGAAUGAGGACAGCAGGGCCGUUGGUCUUAAAAGACAGGCUAAACGGUAGUAUAAGUCUGCAACAUGA